rnacentral:rRNA from 1 species
GAUGAACGCUGGCGGCGUGCCUAAUACAUGCAAGUCGAGCGAACAGACGAGGAGCUUGCUCCUUUGACGUUAGCGGCGGACGGGUGAGUAACACGUAGGUAACCUACCUAUAAGACUGGGAUAACUUCGGGAAACCGGAGCUAAUACCGGAUAAUAUUUCGAACCGCAUGGUUCGAUAGUGAAAGAUGGCUUUGCUAUCACUUAUAGAUGGACCUGCGCUGUAUUAGCUAGUUGGUAAGGUAACGGCUUACCAAGGCAACGAUACGUAGCCGACCUGAGAGGGUGAUCGGCCACACUGGAACUGAGACACGGUCCAGACUCCUACGGGAGGCAGCAGUAGGGAACCUUCCGCAAUGGGCGAAAGCCUGACGGAGCAACGCCGCGUGAGUGAUGAAGGUCUUCGGAUCGUAAAACUCUGUUAUUAGGGAAGAACAAACGUGUAAGUAACUGUGCACGUCUUGACGGUACCUAAUCAGAAAGCCACGGCUAACUACGUG